UACAGAGGUGGCAAACGUUGUCCGGAUUUACUGGGCGUAAAGCGCGUUCAGGCGGUUUGGCAAGUCGGGCAUGAAAUCUCUCGGCUCAACCGGGAGAGGUUGUCCGAUACUGCUGGACUUGAGGGCAGUAGAGGGUGGUGGAAUUCCGGGUGUAGUGGUGAAAUGCGUAGAUAUCCGGAGGAACACCUGCGGCGAAGGCGGGUUGCUGGGCUGACACUGACGCUGAGGCGCGAAAGCUAGGGGAGCGAACGGG
rnacentral:rRNA from 1 species